rnacentral:rRNA from 1 species
UGAGGAAUAUUGGUCAAUGGGCGGGAGCCUGAACCAGCCAAGCCGCGUGACGGAAGAAGGCGCUAAGCGUCGUAAACGUCUUUUGCCGGGGAACAAAGGCGCGGACGCGUCCGCGUGUGAGUGUACCCGGAGAAAAAGCAUCGGCUAACUCCGUGCCAGCAGCCGCGGUAAUACGGAGGAUGCGAGCGUUAUCCGGAUUUAUUGGGUUUAAAGGGUGCGUAGGCGGCCCGUUAAGUCAGCGGUAAAAGGCCCGGGGCUCAACCCCGGCGAGCCGCUGAAACUGGGGGGCUAGAGACGGCGAGAAGUACGCGGAAUGCGCGGUGUAGCGGUGAAAUGCAUAGAUAUCGCGCAGAACUCCGAUUGCGAAGGCAGCGUACCGGCGCCGGACUGACGCUGAGGCACGAAAGCGUGGGUAUCGAACAGGAUUAGAUACC